rnacentral:RNase_P_RNA from 2 species
UCAAUAAACCGGAUGAUUUCGUCCCGCUAUUACGGGAUGAGGAAAGUCCGAACACCCUUCCUAAAUAUUUUUUCCUAAGUAUUAACGACUUGGCUUAAAAAAUAUAUUAGGAUGUAGCGGUAGUGGGUAACGCCCACCCAUUUCAUAGCAAUAUGGGAUGAGGACCAGUACCACAGAGACAAUACUAGUCUUCCGAUUUUUCGGAAGAUGAAACGUGAAAAGUGUUGCAGUGUAUUACGAUAAACAAGGAAUAUUCCAUUAUCAUAAUGCUACGCAACUCCGCUCCCAGCGAUGGGAAGCGCGUGGCAAACUCUACCUGGCGCAAUGCCAAAUUAGGUAGGCAGCUUGAGUCCGAGAGUAAUUUCGGACCUAGAUAGAUAAUCAUCGUCCCGCAACCGCGGGAUACAGAAUUCGGCUUAUAGGCUUAUUGGGGUG